rnacentral:rRNA from 1 species
UACGUAGGGUGCAAGCGUUGUCCGGAAUUAUUGGGCGUAAAGAGCUCGUAGGCGGUUUGUCGCGUCGAAUGUGAAAACCCGGGGCUCAACCCCGGGCCGCAUUCGAUACGGGCAGACUAGAGUUCGGUACGGGGAGUCUGGAAUUCCUGGUGUAGCGGUGAAAAUGCGCAGAGUAUCAGGAGGAACACCGGUGGCGAAGGCGGGACUCUGG